CAUGUUUUCGACUUGCAAAGAGAAUGACUGAACGUUUCUAGGUGCACGUUAGGCAUAGUUUCAGUCUUCCAAUUAAAUUUCAAGCGUGGAUUGCUAGGAAUCUACACGAUUCUACAGCUGUGAUUCACUCUUUUUUGUUUCAGGUUUCUGAAAUUUCUCAGAGUGACCAUCUUUCCUGACCCUUAUAACUCGUGUCAUUUGUUAUGCUGUGCAGCAGCUUCUGUUAUAGUUCAUCUACACUCGGUUAAUUGAAAGGAUGAUUGAAUGCAGAUUCAGGAUUUCUAGCUCUGCAGAAUUGUUUACUCAAAGGAACACAACCGUGUUUGCACACAUGCAGGACAAUCCUUGAUUUGAUCCAUAAGGUCUUCUACCGACCGAAUACAAGAGUAUACGGUGGCCUACAGCUUUGAGACAGGAAUAAGAGCUCUAUUUCCUGCAACUUUUUGGUUGUCGAUGUGGGAUCGUAGGUUGAUUCGAGGAUAACGGGCAGGCCGUAGCGGAAUUUACUCAACUGCCAAUUACGGAUCAAUUCAACAACAGUCUGAGACAGAUCAGAUUGCAGCCAUUGUCUGUUAAGCUCCCGAGUGGACCCACUGUACGGGAGCUACCAAGCCUGGCAUUGAAGCAUCAAGACUCGAGAGUCGCGAAUAAGGACACAAAUACCAUCUAUAUUUUACGUUGUGCACUAAAGCCGCGUCAGUUAUUGCACAAACUGACAGGGUGCGACAAGCCAUGCUAUAGAGGUAGAGAGAGCUUCAGAGCUUGAGAGAGAGAGAGAUUGAGAAUUGUUCAAGAACAUGAAUAGAGAGAAUUCAGAAGCAGUUGCUGCACUAGCCAAGAAAAGGUACAUCCCCACAUUAGUUCCAUACUGAUGGCAGUAGAACUACCAAUUCACUUUCCAUUCACUCUCUGCAAAGGAAACAAUGAGCAUAGAAAACCAUUACGAAUUGUUCCCGCCUAAGUAGGUCAUUGGACGCUGCCAGGUCAAAUUUUAGAAUGAACUUCAGGUAAAUAAAAGCAGUUUCCCAACAAGCAUAAAAACACUAAUUCUAGAAUUUCCUCCAUGCAUGAAACACCAAUAUCUCAUCUCCAGCAACAGAUCAAGCUAACCUAAAAGAAACAGAAAAAAAAUGUUCCAACUAAGUAAACUAGCAUAAUUGCUUCAUCGAUAUAGCUAUUUGGUGGGCACCUGCCAUAGGAAAUGCUAUAGUACUGCAUCCAUUGCUUAUGUUGGACAAUUCCCAAUAUAAUUAGCUCUAUUGCAAAUUAUUAGCACCAGCUAACCAUCUUGGCACUUGUGUGUAGAUGUAUCUGCAGUGUCUCUAUUUGUAACAUAGAUUAUUAUUCACGGGUGCGGCGUGUCGCCGCGCCGCAAACU